GACGAACGCUGGCGGCGUGCUUCAUACAUGCAAGUCGAACGAGAAGCUGACUUCGGUCAGUGGAAAGUGGCGGACGGGUGAGUAAUAUGUAGGAAAUCUGCCUUUAGGAGGGGGACAACAGAGGGAAACUUCUGCUAAUACCCCAUAUGAGCGUAGCUGAAAUGCUAUUCUUGAAAACUCCGGUGCCUAAAGAUGAGCAUGCAUCUGAUUAGCUAGUUGGUAGUGUAAUGGACUACCAAGGCGACGAUCAGUAGCUGGUUUGGGAGGAUGAUCAGCCACAAUGGGACUUAGACACGGCCCAUACUCCUUCGGGAGGCAGCAGUAGGGAAUUUUUCGCAAUGGGCGAAAGCCUGACGCAGCAACGCCGCGUGAACGAUUAAGCCCUUCGGGGUGUAAAGUUCUGUCAGUGGGGACGAAACUUGACGGUACCCACAGAGGAAGCACCGGCUAACUCCGUG
rnacentral:rRNA from 1 species